AGAGAAAAAUGAGAUCCGGGGCGCGAGUUUCUUCCGGGCUCGCUAAGUCGAAACAAGGUAUCCGUAAAUUGAGAAACACGGGGGUAACCUGCCCAUGAGACUGGGAUAACUCCGGGAAACCGGGGCUAAUACCGGAUAACAUUUUGAACCGCAUGGUUCGAAAUUGAAAGGCGGCUUCGGCUGUCACUUAUGGAUGGACCCGCGUCGCAUUAGCUAGUUGGUGAGGUAACGGCUCACCAAGGCAACGAUGCGUAGCCGACCUGAGAGGGUGAUCGGCCACACUGGGACUGAGACACGGCCCAGACUCCUACGGGAGGCAGCAGUAGGGAAUCUUCCGCAAUGGACGAAAGUCUGACGGAGCAACGCCGCGUGAGUGAUGAAGGCUUUCGGGUCGUAAAACUCUGUUGUUAGGGAAGAACAAGUGCUAGUUGAAUAAGCUGGCACCUUGACGGUACCUAACCAGAAAGCCACGGCUAACUACGUGCCAGCAGCCGCGGUAAUACGUAGGUGGCAAGCGUUAUCCGGAAUUAUUGGGCGUAAAGCGCGCGCAGGUGGUUUCUUAAGUCUGAUGUGAAAGCCCACGGCUCAACCGUGGAGGGUCAUUGGAAACUGGGAGACUUGAGUGCAGAAGAGGAAAGUGGAAUUCCAUGUGUAGCGGUGAAAUGCGUAGAGAUAUGGAGGAACACCAGUGGCGAAGGCGACUUUCUGGUCUGUAACUGACACUGAGGCGCGAAAGCGUGGGGAGCAAACAGGAUUAGAUACCCUGGUAGUCCACGCCGUAAACGAUGAGUGCUAAGUGUUAGAGGGUUUCCGCCCUUUAGUGCUGAAGUUAACGCAUUAAGCACUCCGCCUGGGGAGUACGGCCGCAAGGCUGAACUCAAAGGGAAUUGACGGGGGCCCGCACAAGCGGUGGAGCAUGUGGUUUUAUUUCGAAGCAACGCGAAGAACUCUUACCAGGGUCUUGACAUCCUCUGAAAACUCUAGAGGAUAGGGCUUCUCUUUCGGGAGCAGAGUGACAGGUGGUGCAUGGGUGGUCGUCAGCUUCGUGUCAGGAGAAUGUUGGGGUUAAGUUCCCGCACGAGCGCCACCCUUUGAUCUUAGUUGCCAUUCAUUAAGUUGGCCACUCUUAAGGUUGACUUGCCGGGUGACAACCGAGGAAGGGUGGGGAUGAACGUCAAUCAUCAUGCCCCUUUGUACCGGGCCCUAACCACGUGCUACAUGGAACGUACAGAGAGCCUGCAAGAACUCUAGAGGAUGAGAUCUUAUCUCCUCUAG
rnacentral:rRNA from 1 species